rnacentral:rRNA from 1 species
UACGUAGGUGGCGAGCGUUGUCCGGAUUUACUGGGCGUAAAGAGCGCGCAGGCGGCUGGUCAAGUCCGAUGUGAAAGCUCCCGGCUUAACUGGGAAAUUGCAUCGGAAACUGAUCGGCUGGAAGGUGGGAGAGGGUAGCGGAAUUCCCGGUGUAGUGGUGAAAUGCGUAGAUAUCGGGAGGAACACCAGUGGCGAAAGCGGCUACCUGGCCCAUUCUUGACGCUGAGGCGCGAAAAGCUAGGGGAGCAAACGGG